CAGAAACUCUGAAGUUCUCUUCUUCUUUUCAGAUAUUGGAAUAUUCUUCAUGUAAUGCAGUAUCACUUCUGUAUGAAGCCACGUGUAACUUGUCCCCCUCCUUUCCAUCAUGAGAACUACUGAAGAUGUAAACCAAAUCCAGGGAAACCAGUGACAUUUGUGAAUAGUAGACGGGAUAAAAGGAGCUGGACACACUCUUUCUUCAACAUCUGCCAUGAUAUGAUUUCACAAGCAAGAAAUGUGCCAAGGCUUCUACCCAAGAAUAUAACGUACAUGGACACGUCAUGGGGGCUCCCCUGCCCUCAAGCUCCCAUGGGGGUUCAGCCAAUGAAGACAAGAAGAAAGAGAGAUUGAGGUCAUCCAGUGAUACUGAUGAAAUAUUCCACCGGAGGGAGAAUCAUGAAAUAUUCCACCGGAGGGAGAAUCAAAUCCCUGUCUAGCCUCCUUGCCCGCAGGAAGUUGACAGAAGAGGGAUUGACCUGAAGGAUCAAGGGGUAUGCAGUCCAAGUGGGAAUGUAACAUGCAUGAGGUGGAGGGACUGAACCUCAAUCAGAUGGAGUGAAUGCUUCAGGUCACACAGCGAAAGAGUCCUGGAUGAAAACCCAGUGCUACCAGAAGGCAGUCUCUUCUCUCCACCACACUGUACCUCCCACAGCCCUCUUUUAGAGCAAGGCCAUUUCAGGGAAGCCUUGCCAUACCCGAUCUCCACAGGCAGCUCUCACCAACUGUGCUUCAAGUGCAUGGUCAUUCCAGAGCCUGGACGGAACGGGCACUCCUGGUGCUAUGGCCUCACUGCCUACAAAGCUAAGUGCACAGGUAGGGGGACAGGGUGCUUCCUUUGCUCCUGUGGUGAUCUGGAGACACAGAUCAACCCAGUGUGAAUGGAACCAGGCAGAGCUGCCCACCAAAAUAAAAGUGUGGCCAAAACCCAGCCCUGCUUGUGGGUGAACAAAAAACAUGCCCUCCAGCCACAACUGCAUUCACAGAGCUUCCGGGGAUGGCUCUUACCUGGGGCUGCUCCGUAUGGAAACAUAAUCCAUAGCUUGGCUCCCACAAAUAUGCUUAUCCCACGUGCUACAUAUGGAAGGAGAAAUCAGCUUGUAUUUCAUUAAACAGUUUGGCUCAGGUCUUGUGAGCAAAUAUUAGAAUCUGCACUUGGUACAGAGUCGUAAAUGCAUUGUUAGCAAAUCAGAUGGCCGAUAAAAAAUACAUAAAUCAAUCAAGCAUUCCUACUGCUAAAUGUUUACAAAUAAGCAAAACAACGAUCCCCUUGUUAAAAGUCUCUUCUGCUCUAUGAUUUAUUAAAGUUCUGAAUUCCAUGUUGGGGGCCCAGGGAGUUGAAGGGUGUGGAAGUGGGCUGGCCGGUCUAAGCCGUCCGUGAUCCAUUCCAGGGCAUUUGCCAGGGCACAGCUGGGCUUCCCCCACCCAGGGACAGUGAGAG
rnacentral:lncRNA from 1 species